CUGGCGGCGCGCUUAACACAUGCAAGUCGUACGGUGCCCUUCGCGGUUCAGUGGCGAACGGGUGCGUAACACGUGAGUGACCUGCCAUUGUGCGGGGGAUAACCCGGGGAAACCCGGGCUAAUACCGCAUGUAUUCUUUUGGCUUCAUGGCUGGGAAAAGAAAGUGUGCUUUACGGCAUCGCGCAGGGAGGGGCCCGCGGCGUAUCAGGUAGUUGGUGAGGUAACGGCUCACCAAGCCUAUGACGCGUAGGGGGUCUGAGAGAAUGGCCCCCCACAUUGGGACUGAGAUACGGCCCAGACUCCUACGGGAGGCAGCAGUGGGGAAUCUUGCGCAAUGGCCGAGAGGCUGACGCAGCGACGCCGCGUGCGGGAUGAAGCUUUUCGGAGUGUAAACCUCUGUCAGGUGGGACGAAGGUCCCGGGGAGGAAAUGCCCUGGUGAUGACGGUACCACCAAAGGAAGCACCGGCUAACUUCGUGCCAGCAGCCGCGGUAAUACGAAAGGUGCAAGCGUUGUUCGGAAUUAUUGGGCGUAAAGCGCACGUAGGCGGCCUUGUAAGUCUCACUGUGAAAGUCCGAGGCUCAACCCCGGGAUGCCAGGGGAUACUGCGAGGCUGGAGACAAGCAGGGGUUGGUAGAAUUCCGGGUGUAGCGGUGGAAUGCGUAGAGAUCCGGAGGAAUACCAGAGGCGUAGGCGGCCAACUGGGCUUGUUCUGACGCUGAGGUGCGAAAGCGUGGGGAGCGAACAGGAUUAGAUAGCCUGGUAGUCCACGCCGUAAACG
rnacentral:rRNA from 1 species